rnacentral:rRNA from 1 species
GUGGGGAAUAUUGGACAAUGGGCGAAAGCCUGAUCCAGCCAUGCCGCGUGUGUGAAGAAGGUCUUCGGAUUGUAAAGCACUUUAAGUUGGGAGGAAGGGCAUUAACCUAAUACGUUAGUGUUUUGACGUUACCGACAGAAUAAGCACUGGCUAACUUCGUGCCAGCAGCCGCGGUAAUACGAAGGGUGCAAGCGUUAAUCGGAAUUACUGGGCGUAAAGCGCGCGUAGGUGGUUCGUUAAGUUGGAUGUGAAAGCCCCGGGCUCAACCUGGGAACUGCAGCCAAAACUGGCGAGCUAGAGUACGGUAGAGGGUAGUGGAAUUUCCUGUGUAGCGGUGAAAUGCGUAGAUAUAGGAAGGAACACCAGUGGCGAAGGCGACUACCUGGACUGAUACUGACACUGAGGUGCGAAAGCGUGGGGAGCAAACAGGAUUAGAAACCCCUGUAGUCC